rnacentral:sRNA from 1 species
UCUGAGGAAAGUGUGGGCAUGUUUAUGAAUGGAAAGCUCAUUUCCUUUGAGACUUUGGCAGUUUGGUACCAUAUCAUGCUAAUGAGGGUAAGGUCUCUAAGUUCUGUCCUAAGGGACUCUCAGGUACUCCUGGGCCCAGGGAAAGUGUCUUUUCCAUAACAGGGAAUACAGUGAGAGAAAAACUGGAGCUAGAACCAGGCAGGAGAUGGGCCUCAGAGUGCCUGGUACAGGGAGGUGGGUGGAGCCUCUGGUAUGACACAGUGCACAAGAGUCCUGCCACUCUGCCAAUGGCUCUGCCAGGGUACGCAGUGGUCUUGCACUCUUCCUAGGCUCCAGGAAUGGAGGUUUAAGGAAAGUCUUUGCAUAUGGGAGGGACACAUUGAUCACUGAUUUUUGACCCUGUCCCAAAAGAUGGUCCUGAUUUGGACGGUACCCACUAGGGGUUGGACAAGCAAGCAUUUCUGGGGGCAGGUUUAGGAAAGACACAGUUGAGAGAGUCUACAAUGAUAAACCUCCGUGGGACAAUGGGGAGGCACCAAAUAAACUCUGGGGAGGUCUUCUGUCUCUCAGUCCUGCCAGUCAUGCCAUCCCUACCCCAGAUCCUGGCAACCAGUCGUGCACGUUGGGUUUAGCAGUCCAGGGCACAUAAGGAAUUGAUUUCUGUAUGUGUAAAGGGUUUGGUCCCUGAGGAAGCUCAGUGAGAGCAGGAUGGAAAGGGACGGGGUUCUGAGUGAGGGGCUGGCAACAAGGUGCAGAGCCAAGACCAUGGCCCCAUGCCCUGCGGCCCAGCUGCAGGAUGUGGGCUCUCAGCCCCCUCAGGAUGCCUUCAGGUGAGGACAGCAGGUUGUGGCUUGCGCCCUGCUGAGCCAGCCAAGGAGAGUGGCUACCACAAUCCCAAAGCCCACACCCCGGGCCUGGACCGGUCCCGCGGCCUGUAGAGGGCAGGGCGAAGCUCAGGAGGCGAUGGCCCCAGGCCCCAGGGGUGAUUCUGCCUGUGCGAUGUCCUCCUUGUUGGAGGGGAGCUCUUUGUAGGCGCCACGUCGCGAUCAAAAAGACAAAGAAAAAAAGAAAAGAAAAAGGAGAAGAAGCAGCCAGGAAAGGGGGCGGUAACGGCGGCGGGGGGUGGGGGUGUCACCUGGGUCAAGAGCAGCCCGCUAUGACAGCGGCGGGAUUUUCAAAGGAGAUUGCAGCCUCCCAGUGUCCAGGGAAGAAGCCCUGGCCAGCCCUCCAGGGGACCUCGAGGCGUGGAGCUCGCGCGGAUCCCUAGCCCGGCCUCCGGGUCUGGUCCCUAGGACAGUGAGCCAGGCGGACUGCACCGCCAGAGCAGCAUCAUCAAGGUCUGAAAUUCUCCAGCAGAAACUCGAACAUGACACAGACCAGGACAAGAUCUCCCUUGGAGAGAAGUGCUACAGGAGGAGAACUAAGUGUGCACAGCAAAUGCACCACUAUUGUAUCUCAUCUGUAAUGUCCACUAUUGUAUCUCAUCUGUAAUGUCCAUAGCAAUUGUGGACUGCAUUUUCCUCCUUUUGUUUGAUUUC